rnacentral:rRNA from 1 species
CUACGGGAGGCAGCAGUGAGGAAUAUUGCACAAUGGGGGGAACCCUGAUGCAGCAACGCCGCGUGGAGGAUGACGCAUUUCGGUGUGUAAACUCCUUUUAUAUGUCAAGAAAAUGACGGUAGCAUAUGAAUAAGCACCGGCUAACUCCGUGCCAGCAGCCGCGGUAAUACGGAGGGUGCAAGCGUUACUCGGAAUCACUGGGCGUAAAGGACGCGUAGGCGGGAUAGCAAGUCAGGUGUGAAAUCCUACAGCUUAACUGUAGAACUGCACUUGAAACUGGUAACCUGGAGUAUGGGAGGGGGAGAUGGAAUUAGUGGUGUAGGGGUAAAAUCCGUAGAUAUCACUAGGAAUACCUAAAGCGAAGGCGAUCUCCUGGAACAUAACUGACGCUAAGGCGUGAAAGCGUGGGGAGCAAACAGGAUUAGAUACCCCCGUAGUC